GUGUUUGCUUUGGCAGCACAUACACUAAAACUGGAAUGAUAGAAGAUUAGCAUAGCCCCUGGGCAAGGAUGACAUGCAAAUUUGUGAAGCAUUCCCUAUUUAA